AUCAUUGAAAAUUAUUAAAAAAAUGCCUAUAAUUAAGAUGCUAGGUAACUAGCUAUGGUGAUAAAAGCUAUAUGAAAUAGAUGGAGCGGACCCGGGGGCGGUACCCGGCGCCUCCACCAAAGUCUUUUUUAAAAGAUUUUGGCGGGGGCGAAAUAGCAUCGACGUACGUUGAAAGAUAUAGUGUUUACCCGGUAUUGUACCACCGUUAUCGGGCUUUUUAAACUAAGUGCAAACACAAAGAAAGCACUCGUUUUGUCAAAUGUUAAAGGUAUGAUCAAGCAACCUGCUAUGGGUCUUGCUCAACCUGCAGCUACUGCAUCAGUCGCUGCGUAACGUAGUAUGAAACGCGGUUGGAGGGGCACCGGGCAACAGAAGCCCCUCGCU
rnacentral:tmRNA from 1 species